rnacentral:rRNA from 1 species
AUUGAACGCUGGCGGCAGGCCUAACACAUGCAAGUCGAACGGUAACAGGAAGCAGCUUGCUGCUUUGCUGACGAGUGGCGGACGGGUGAGUAAUGUCUGGGAAACUGCCCGAUGGAGGGGGAUAACUACUGGAAACGGUAGCUAAUACCGCAUAACGUCGCAAGACCAAAGAGGGGGACCUUAGGGCCUCUUGCCAUCGGAUGUGCCCAGAUGGGAUUAGCUAGUAGGUGGGGUAACGGCUCACCUAGGCGACGAUCCCUAGCUGGUCUGAGAGGAUGACCAGCCACACUGGAACUGAGACACGGUCCAGACUCCUACGGGAGGCAGCAGUGGGGAAUAUUGCACAAUGGGCGCAAGCCUGAUGCAGCCAUGCCGCGUGUAUGAAGAAGGCCUUCGGGUUGUAAAGUACUUUCAGCGGGGAGGAAGGGAGUAAAGUUAAUAGCUUUGCUCAUUGACGUUACCCGCAGAAGAAGCACCGGCUAACUCCGUG